rnacentral:misc_RNA from 1 species
AACUAAUAAAAAUACUAUUUUAUCUAUAGAAUAAUAUGUUUGACGUCAUGAAUAUAACUCUUUGUUUUAUGUUUAUAUGUGAGAAUGCUCGUUCCUAUAAGUAUUUGACAGUUCAUAAAUAAUAAUAGUACUUAAUAAGAUUGAAAUUUUGCUUUCGUACGUAUGUCAAGGUCCAUUAUAUUAUAUUAAAUUAUGCAUUUUUUAAUUAUGGUUUCUAAAUCAUCCAAAUUUGAUAUAUAAAUUAAGUCCUUGUAUAAGGAUUUGAUUGACUGAUUUAAACUUUUCCAAGUAAUGGAUGAGAAGGACAUUGAAGAGGAUAUUAAUGAUUUCAGAACAUUAGAGCAAUUAUGUGCCGAUAAAUACUUUUCGUCCGCUUUUAGAGAAAUCUCCAAUCUCUGUAAUGUACCUCCACCGGUUUCUAUAACAUUACUAGAAUCCGCACUGAAACUGAAUGAGCGAGUAGAAGUCAUUCCAAUUCUUCUAAGGAGAUGGCCUUAUCCAAAAUUUAAUCUUCUAACACUAAAAAACAUACAAUCUCUUGAAAAAGAGCAUUCUAUAGUAGAAAAACUUUUAUAUGGUAUAUCAAUACUCGUCCAGGAGGAUAAUUUUGUUUAUCCUAACCAAUAUGAUUUCAGAGGAAUUUUAAUAGGAUUAAAAACAAUCAAAUUUUUCUUCAAAAAAAUAUUUCGGCAUAAAAAGGAUGUACAUCUUAUUAUUGAUGUGGAAUGCUUAAGCGAGGAUUUAAACUAUUUGGCAAAUAAUGUCAUAGGUUUCCCUGGCUUGAUUUUAUGUGGAAUAACGAUAUUAUCUUGUAGCCUACAAAAUUUUCAGAGUUGGAAGAAGUUUUGUAUCGAGUAGAUACUAAGGAACUCCAGUGUUUGAAAAUGAAUUAUAUUUUAUACCAUCAUGAAGAUUUUUUUGAAAGGAAAUUGUGUACCAGGAUUGAGGCAUUUUCUAAUCUAUGUACGUUGUGCCUCCAACAAAAUAGGAUCAUUUUCAAGAAGAAUCCUUCCUUGGAAAAGGCAUUAUCUCGAGCAUUAAGUAAUUUGCCUUCCUUGAAAGUACUAAAUCUCUCAUCUAAUAAUUUGGGUACAAAAUUGAAAAGUCUAUUGGGUGGUAUGACUUUAGGCUUGGAAAAGUUGAUAUUGAGCGAAACCCGCCUUCUGGAAGAGGAUUUGGUAUAUUUAAUGAAUUCUAUUCAUUCAAAUAGUUUGAAAUAUAUUGAUUUAAGCUUCAAUUUAUAUCUACCUCAUCUUUAUGAAGAUCUUUUCUUAAAACUUACUAAAAUUCAAACCGUCAAAAUUCAACCAAAAUUCAUUAAUUCUCUCAGAAAUCGUCAAUUUGAAUAUUACACCUCUCUUUCUCGAGUUUUCAUGAGUUUACCUUUCUUGAAUAAAUUGUUUUUUUUUGUUGACUCGGAUAGUUUUUCAACAGAGUGUAGAAUUGAUGACUUAAAACAACUGAGGGAUAUUUUGGUAACGAGUUCGUCUGUUCGUAGAAUAAUUUUAGGUUAUUAUAUGGACCAAGCUGUAGAAGAUGAAUUUUAUAUCAAAUCUAGUAACCAAAGUAUUCAUAUAUCUUAUAGACCUUUUGUUUAUUAAUAGUUAAACAAUGUUUAAUAAAUUUCUACGUAUUAUCGUUAAUAUAAGUUA